rnacentral:rRNA from 1 species
AUUGAACGCUGGCGGCAGGCCUAACACAUGCAAGUCGAGCGGAUGAAGGGAGCUUGCUCCUGGAUUCAGCGGCGGACGGGUGAGUAAUGCCUAGCAAUCUGCCUGGUAGUGGGGGAUAACGUCCGGAAACGGGCGCUAAUACCGCAUACGUCCUGAGGGAGAAAGUGGGGGAUCUUCGGACCUCACGCUAUCAGAUGAGCCUAGGUCGGAUUAGCUAGUUGGUGGGGUAAAGGCCUACCAAGGCGACGAUCCGUAACUGGUCUGAGAGGAUGAUCAGUCACACUGGAACUGAGACACGGUCCAGACUCCUACGGGAGGCAGCAGUGGGGAAUAUUGGACAAUGGGCGAAAGCCUGAUCCAGCCAUGCCGCGUGUGUGAAGAAGGUCUUCGGAUUGUAAAGCACUUUAAGUUGGGAGGAAGGGCAGUAAGUUAAUACCUUGCUGUUUUGACGUUACCAACAGAAUAAGCACCGGCUAUCUUCGUG